UCUGACACAGUCUGGCUAGGAGUGCAGAAAAUUUGGAGAAGCAGUCUUUAGUACUAUUGCCAGAAUGUGUCAGCGCCCAUAGUCUUUGCAGUAUCCAGUGCCUCCAACCGUUUAUUGCUAUCAUGUGGAUAGAACUAAAUUAGCUGAAAAUUGGUAACUGGGGACCACUGGAGGAAGCCAAGAUGGGUCAUCCACUUUGCACUCUGGCUUGAACAUUUUUGCAAAAACUUCAACCUCAUCUUAUGCUCUGUUGUCCUGGGCUCCCCCAUAAUUAAGUAUGGGGAUAUUUAUGGAACCUUGUCCUCCAGUGAGCUGUUGUUCACCAUUCAUGAAUAGAUGUGGCAGAACUGCAGAGCUGUUGUGGCAUCGCUUAGCCCUGUCUAUUUCUUGCUGUUUUGGCAUGCAAGUAGUCUUGUUUAGUAGCUUAACCAGGUUGACAUUUUUAGUAUGCCUGGUGCUACUCCUGGCAUGCCUUUCUGGACUCUCCAUUGAACCAGGGUUGACCUCCUCAUUCGAUAGUAAUGGUAGAGUAGUGGAUAUGCUGAGCUGUGAGAUUGGAGAUUGUAUUGGAAUAUGAUUCUGCUGAUGCUGAUGGCCCACGGUGCCUCAUAGAUGUCCAGUCUUGAGUUGUUAGAUCUGUUCCAAGUCAGUCCCAUUUAUGAGGGUGAUAUCGCCAUACAACACAAUGGAGGUUUUCUCAAAGUGAAGCAAGGGCUUCAUUUCCACAAGGACUGUGAGGCAGUCACUCUUACUGAUUCUGUCAAGACAGAUGCAUCUUCAGCCAGCGAACUGGAAAGGAUGAAGUCAAGUAUACUUUUUCCUCUUGUUGAUUGCUUUACCAUCUGCUGCAGACCAGUCUAGCAGCUCUGUCCUCUAGGACCUGACCAGCUCAAUCUGCAGUGUUGCUGCCAAACCACUCUGUGAUGGUCAACUUUGAAAUCCCUCUCUCAAAGUACAUUCUGCUCCCUUGCUACCUUCAGUGCUUUCUUUAAGUGUUGUUCAACGUGGAGGAGUACUGAUUCAUCAGCCAAGGGAGUUUGCUUUCUGGUUUGAUGAGAAGAUAACACAGUUCCUAAUCAAAAAAUGAAGGUAUCAGGAGCUACCAUCAGCAUCUUCAUCCCAGUAUUCUGCUAAUCAUUAGAAACAGGGUUCACAUGAAGUCCAGGGCACCAAUGCUGCCUAACAGCUAUCAAAUCAUAUCAGAAAGAGCAUGAUAUUUGCAGAUCAACG